UGGCGGCAGGCUUAACACAUGCAAGUCGAGCGGGGAAGGGUAGCUUGCUAUCUGACCUAGCGGCGGACGGGUGAGUAAUGCUUAGGAAUCUGCCUAUUAGUGGGGGACAACAUUCCGAAAGGAAUGCUAAUACCGCAUACGCCCUACGGGGGAAAGCAGGGGAUCUUCGGACCUUGCGCUAAUAGAUGAGCCUAAGUCAGAUUAGCUAGUUGGUGGGGUAAAGGCCUACCAAGGCGACGAUCUGUAGCGGGUCUGAGAGGAUGAUCCGCCACACUGGGACUGAGACACGGCCCAGACUCCUACGGGAGGCAGCAGUGGGGAAUAUUGGACAAUGGGCGAAAGCCUGAUCCAGCCAUGCCGCGUGUGUGAAGAAGGCCUUUUGGUUGUAAAGCACUUUAAGCGAGGAGGAGGCUACCGAGAUUAAUACUCUUGGAUAGUGGACGUUACUCGCAGAAUAAGCACCGGCUAACUCUGUGCCAGCAGCCGCGGUAAUACAGAGGGUGCGAGCGUUAAUCGGAUUUACUGGGCGUAAAGCGUGCGUAGGCGGCUUUUUAAGUCGGAUGUGAAAUCCCUGAGCUUAACUUAGGAAUUGCAUUCGAUACUGGGAAGCUAGAGUAUGGGAGAGGAUGGUAGAAUUCCAGGUGUAGCGGUGAAAUGCGUAGAGAUCUGGAGGAAUACCGAUGGCGAAGGCAGCCAUCUGGCCUAAUACUGACGCUGAGGUACGAAAGCAUGGGGAGCAAACAGGAUUAGAUACCCUGGUAGUCCAUGCCGUAAACGAUGUCUACUAGCCGUUGGGGCCUUUGAGGCUUUAGUGGCGCAGCUAACGCGAUAAGUAGACCGCCUGGGGAGUACGGUC
rnacentral:rRNA from 1 species